rnacentral:lncRNA from 1 species
GUAUUUUUGAGACAGGGUCCCUGGUAUCGCGGGCCGGCUCAGAAUUCCUGACCCUCCCAAGAGCUAGGAUUACAGGUUAGAGACAACAAACCCAGAUACUACUGCAUAUUUUUAAGAAAAUGGGAAACAUGUUGAACAUGUGGAGGCUACAAUUAUAUAUAGGGCUCUUUACUUUCAUUACAAAGGCUGAACCUGCAACACAGACGUCGGGGAGCUUUACAUCAGAAAUGAAGACGGCAAAGCUGUGCUGUGACAAAUUUUUCUGCAAUAGUUUAUACAUAGAAGAGAGAGGUAAGGUGGUGGAGUGGUCACCAUGAGAAUGCCCCUCAUAGGCUCACAUAUCUGAAUGUUUGCUUUCUAGUUAGUGGAUUGUUUAGGAAGAACUGGGUGUGGCCUUCUUGGAGGAGGUGUGCCACUAGGAGUGUGCUUUGGGAUUUCAAAAGCCCUCCCUCCCUUCCUCUGUUCUCUCUCCCACUGUCUCCAACUUGUGGGUGAGGUAUAAACUCCCAGCUACUGCUCCAACACCGUGCCUGCCUGCCUGCUGCCAUACUGCCCACUAUGACGGUCAUUGACUCACCCUCUGAAACUGUAAGGAAGCCCCCAGUUAAAUGCUUUCUUCUAUAAGCUUCCUUGGUCAUGGUGUCUCUUCACAGCAAUAGAACGGUAAGUAAGAUGGCGGGAUAAAUGUUGCAAGGUGUAUUAGUCUCCUUGGGCAGCCACAACAAAAUAUCACACACAGAGUAUAUAAAACAGAAAAUCAGGUUUCUUUUUCUGGAAACUGGGACUCUCAGAUCAAAUCAGUAUCUGGCUCAGGGCUCUCUUCUUGACUUGCUUCAGACGACUAUCUUCUUCAGCUCGGACAUACCCUCCUCUUCAGAGGAUAGCAAUUCAGUUGGACUUGGGCCCCACCUUUAUAACCUACUUAACUUUAAUUACCUCCCCUACAGACGCUAUUUCCACAUAACACUUCAUAAGGAAAGUGGGGUGGAGGAACUGCUUCAGGGCAUGAAUUGAGAGAGAAACAAUACAAUGAACUAAUUUAGUAUUGAACAUAACAAGUAGAAAAGGGCAGCUUUGGAAAUGAAAAAUUUAUUACAAACCAGCAACAAGGCACAUCUGCAGGCCGGGGCAUGUAGAGCUCUAAUAAAACUUAGAUUUUUAAAGGCAGAAUGACUCAAGAGAAAAAUAAAUAAAAUUGCAGAAAGACAAUCUCUUCAGUCUUUUUGAAAAUGGUGAUGGUAUUCUGAGUUAGGCGAGCAUGCUGGCUAAUUUCUAUGUUAACUCUACAUAAGCUAGAGUCAUCGAGAGAGAACCUCAAUUGAGAAAAUACGUCCACAAAACAGUCUCUAGGCAAGCAGGUAAAGCAUUUUCGUGUUUGGUAUGGGGGGGGGGGCACAGACCAUCAUGGGCAUUGCCACCCCUGGGUUGGUGUUUUAAGUUCCAUGGGCUGACCAAGCCAGAAGAAUGGAGCAGUCUAAUAACUAGCAGUCCUCUACAACCUCUGCAUCACCCAUUGCCUUCAAGUUCUUGCCUAACAGCUUUCAAUGGUGAGGUGCAAACAAAAUAAAUGCCGUUUUAAAUCAACCACAACACAAAGAGACUAAAGACAAUCCUAGCAGUUCUUUGGGGUUCAUCAUUUAGGAAAGCAAGUGAAUAAUAAAUUCCAAUAAAUGUAAGUACAGAAACUAAGAAUUACUUAAGAACUCACAGGCACAGAGGAGUGUAAACUGGAACAAGAAGUUGACAAAGACAGGCAGAGUGACCAUGCCUUUAAACCCAGCCCCUGGGAGGCACAGGCAGUCAGAUCUCUGUGAGAUGGAUGGCCAGCCAGCCAGGGACACAUCAUGAGACCCUGGCUCAAAAAGAAAAACAAAAAUAUAGAUGUGUCUUUAGUAACAUCCAGGCUAACACUGCAGGUUAGCAAAUUAGAUUUCAAAGAGUCCUUAUGUGUUCAUUAAUUAAACAAAUACCAAGCACUGAACAAGUCCCUGUCCUGUAUACAUAAAAGUCAGCAGAAACCCAUUUAAUGGUGUUUCCAUACACCAACAAUUAGCUAUAAAAAAAGAAAAUCUACAAAACUACAGGAAAUAGAUACUUGAAAAAAAGUUGAACCAAGGAGAUAAAAGACAUGUACAUUAAAAACUGCAAAAAAAAAAAUUAUGAAAGGAACAAAAAUGUUUUGU